AGUGAACGCUGGCGGCGUGCCUAAUACAUGCAAGUCGAACGGAGAUUAAGUAGCUUGCUAUUUAAUCUUAGUGGCGCACGGGUGAGUAAUAUAUAGCUAACUUGCCCAUUACUAAGGGACAACAGUUGGAAACGACUGCUAAUACCUUAUACUCCGUAUCUAUAUAAGUAGAUACGGGAAAGUUUUUCGGUAAUGGAUAGGGCUAUAUCGUAUCAGCUAGUUGGUAAGGUAAUGGCUUACCAAGGCUAUGACGCGUAACUGGUCUGAGAGGAUGAUCAGUCACACUGGAACUGAGACACGGUCCAGACUCCUACGGGAGGCAGCAGUAGGGAAUAUUGCUCAAUGGGGGAAACCCCGAAGCAGCAACGCCGCGUGGAGGAUGACACUUUUCGGAGCGUAAACUCCUUUUCUUGGGAAAGAAUUAUGACGGUACCCAAGGAAUAAGCACCGGCUAACUCCGUG
rnacentral:rRNA from 1 species